rnacentral:rRNA from 1 species
UACGGAGGGAGCUAGCGUUGUUCGGAAUUACUGGGCGUAAAGCGCACGUAGGCGGCGAUUUAAGUCAGGGGUGAAAGCCCAGUGCUCAACACUGGAACUGCCCUUGAGACUGGAUUGCUAGAAUCUUGGAGAGGCGAGUGGAAUUCCGAGUGUAGAGGUGAAAUUCGUAGAUAUUCGGAAGAACACCAGUGGCGAAGGCGGCUCGCUGGACAAGUAUUGACGCUGAGGUGCGAAAGCGUGGGGAGCAAAGCAGG